rnacentral:rRNA from 1 species
UAGGGAAUAUUGGUCAAUGGACGCAAGUCUGAACCAGCUAUGCCGCGUGAGGGAUGAAGGCCUUCGGGUUGUAAACCUCUUUCAGUAGGGAAGAAGCGAAAGUGACGGUACCUACAGAAGAAGCACCGGCUAACUAUGUGCCAGCAGCCGCGGUAAUAA